rnacentral:rRNA from 1 species
GACGAACGCUGGCGGCGUGCUUAACACAUGCAAGUCGAGCGGAAAGGCCACUUCGGUGGUACUCGAGCGGCGAACGGGUGAGUAACACGUGAGUAAUCUGCCCCUCACUUUGGGAUAGCCACCGGAAACGGUGAUUAAUACCGGAUAUGACCAUAUGUCGCAUGGCGUGUGGUGGAAAGUUUUUCGGUGAGGGAUGUGCUCGCGGCCUAUCAGCUUGAUGGUGAGGUAAUGGUUCACCAUGGCUUCGACGGGUAGCCGGCCUGAGAGGGUGACCGGUCACACUGGGACUGAGACACGGCCCAGACUCCUACGGGAGGCAGCAGUGGGGAAUAUUGGACAAUGGGCGGAAGCCUGAUCCAGCAACGCCGCGUGAGGGAUGACGGCCUUCGGGUUGUAAACCUCUUUCAGUACCGACGAAGCGCAAGUGACGGUAGGUACAGAAGAAGCACCGGCCAACUACGUG